rnacentral:lncRNA from 1 species
CCUUGCAACGAUUUUGAAGCUCCAAGCUCGCGCAAGCACCAUGGAACGAAACUUACGAAUGAGGAACCGGAUACCAUGAGUCGGGAACCGAAUACACCACUCCUCGAACCAAUGCACGACCUGGGAAUCAAAUAAACAUGGCUGGAACCAAAUACACGUUGCGCCGGAACCGAAUACUCUAAAGCAUUGUAGAAGGAGAACCGGAUACGCAUGAAUAUAGUGAUGCAAAAGGAAGGGGAACCGAAUAUGCAUUCCUAUAACCGAAUACACCAGCCUUUUAUUUUCCUUGUUGAAGGGGAACCGAAUACUCAUCUUCUGUAACCGAAUACACCAUGGUGUGCUUCAUUCUUCC